CAGGUUCUCUGGUUUGACGUCCCGGUGCAGGACGCCACGGCUCUCGCAGUGUUUUAGCGCGAUCAGCUGCACCAGCACUUUCUUGGCCAGACGCU
rnacentral:miRNA from 1 species